rnacentral:rRNA from 1 species
GAUGAACGCUAGCUACAGGCUUAACACAUGCAAGUCGAGGGGAAACGACAUCGAAAGCUUGCUUUUGAUGGGCGUCGACCGGCGCACGGGUGAGUAACGCGUAUCCAACCUGCCCACCACUUGGGGAUAACCUUGCGAAAGUAAGACUAAUACCCAAUGACGUCUCUAGAAGACAUCUGAAAGAGAUUAAAGAUUUAUCGGUGAUGGAUGGGGAUGCGUCUGAUUAGCUUGUUGGCGGGGUAACGGCCCACCAAGGCGACGAUCAGUAGGGGUGCUGUGAGGAAGGUCCCCCACAUUGGAACUGAGACACGGUCCAAACUGCUACGGGAGGCAGCAGUGAGGAAUAUUGGUCAAUGGACGAGAGUCUGAACCAGCCAAGUAGCGUGCAGGAUGACGGCCCUAUGGGUUGUAAACUGCUUUUAUAAGGGAAUAAAGUGAGUCUCGUGAGACUUUUUGCAUGUACCUUAUGAAUAAGGACCGGCUAAUUCCGUGCCAGCCGCCGCGGUAA